AACUGAAAAAAAAGGGGGGGCUCCGUGUGCUUGGCUGAUACUUUCGUCCCCUCUCGCAUCUACGAAAAAACAGCCUGCGCGCCCGCCCCUACUACCGCGCAACCAAGCUUCCCGCAUGCCUCCAUAGACAGAAAAAAAAAUUAUCAAACGUGCGCCAUGGAUGUCAAGAUAAAGAGCGUCCACCUCGUGGCGAAGUGGAUGUGGGACUGCAAGGGCGAAACUUGUGGCAUCUGUCGUCAAGAGUAUGAGGCAGCCUGCCCCACCUGCCGCGUGCCGGGCGACGACUGCCCAAUCCUGACGAGCCCCUGCCACCAUACGUUUCACUUGCACUGCAUCACACGAGCCUUGGAGAAGGAGGAGGGCCAGCCCGAGUGCCCGACGUGCCGUGCGCCGUGGCAAAUGUAGAACGGGAAUCAGUGCAGCAUGGCCCGUCUGAAGUCGCCACCACCUUUGACAUGCGCCGUCUAGCAUCCGUAUUGUGCCACCGACGUUGUGGAGAGCCCCCUUUUCUCUAGAGGGCACGGUUGGUGCUAUGCAUGCCUGAUAUCCCUCUCUCCCUGCGUGUGGCAGAAGAUCGGCUGAUACUGCUUUCGCGUUCUUUUUACCCGCACAGAUAAGAAAGUAAAGCAUCGGAAGUGCACCUUCGCGUUGGCCAAACCAGCUUGGUGUUAUGUAGGCGCACGCCCUCUGCAAAGUGAACCCCGCACGUAGGCGUCUUCCACCAGUACUCACGGGGGCUUUGCUCGUGCGAGAGCGCGUGAGUUGUAUACGCCGGCGUCAGCUGCUCCCCCGUCUUCCUCACUUCCUCGCCGAUGAUAUGGCGCUACAGUUUCGCCCUUGCUCUCUCCUUCUACGCUCUCCUCUGCCCUCGGACUUCUUGGGCUCCUCGCCCUACAUCCUUCCACACGCAUUACGUUUCGGCCAACUGCCGGCACAAG
rnacentral:misc_RNA from 1 species